UGCAGUCGAGCGCAGGAAGCCGUCUGAACCCUUCGGGGGGACGACGGUGGAAUGAGCGGCGGACGGGUGAGUAACACGUAAAGAACCUGCCCAUAGGUCUGGGAAACCCGGGAGAAAUCGGGGCUAAUACCGGAUGUGUCAUCGGACCGCAUGGUCCGCUGAUGAAAGGCGCUCCGGCGUCGCCCAUGGAUGGCUUUGCGGUGCAUUAGCUAGUUGGUGGGGUAACGGCCCACCAAGGCGACGAUGCAUAGCCGACCUGAGAGGGUGAUCGGCCACACUGGGACUGAGACACGGCCCAGACUCCUACGGGAGGCAGCAGUAGGGAAUCUUCCACAAUGGACGAAAGUCUGAUGGAGCAACGCCGCGUGAACGAUGAAGGCUUUCGGGUCGUAAAGUUCUGUUGUAAGGGAAGAACAAGUGCCGCAGGCAAUGGCGGCACCUUGACGGUACCUUGCGAGAAAGCCACGGCUAACUACGUGCCAGCAGCCGCGGGUAAUACGUAGGUGGCAAGCGUUGUCCGGAAUUAUUGGGCGUAAAGCGCGCGCAGGCGGCCUCUUAAGUCUGAUGUGAAAGCCCCCGGCUCAACCGGGGAGGGCCAUUGGAAACUGGGAGGCUUGAGUAUAGGAGAGAAGAGUGGAAUUCCACGUGUAGCGGUGAAAUGCGUAGAGAUGUGGAGGAACACCAGUGGCGAAGGCGACUCUUUGGCCUAUAACUGACGCUGAGGCGCGAAA
rnacentral:rRNA from 1 species